CCAAUAGCGUAUAUUAAAGUUGUUGCAGUUAAAAAGCUCGUAGUUGAAUUUCGAGACCGGUUUAUUGGUCGUGCUUUUGUACGUACUGGUAUUAUUGGUUUCUCCUUUCUGACGAAUCUUAAUGCCAUUAAUUUGGUGUUUUGGGGAAUCAGGACUGUUACUUUGAAAAAAUUAGAGUGUUUAAAGCAGGCUCACGCUUG
rnacentral:rRNA from 1 species